UACAGAGGGGGCAAGCGUUGUUCGGAAUUACUGGGCGUAAAGGGCGCGUAGGCGGUUCGAUAAGUCCCGUGUGAAAGCCCCCGGCUCAACUGGGGAACUGCACGGGAAACUGACGGACUUGAGUUCGGGAGAGGGAAGCGGAAUUCCGGGUGUAGCGGUGAAAUGCGUAGAUAUCUGGAGGAACACCGGUGGCGAAGGCGGCAUUCUGGACCGAAACUGACGCUGAGGCGCGAAAGCCAGGGGAGCAAACGGG
rnacentral:rRNA from 1 species